rnacentral:snoRNA from 1 species
CUUCAGUGAUGACACGAUGACGAGUCAGAAAGGUCACAUCCUGCUCUUGGCCCUUGUCGGCGCCACGUUCUGUGGCACUGCAUGGGUUCCUUUUGCAAAAGUGUCCUGUCCAUUGAUUGAUUAGAGGCAUUUGUCUGAGAAGG